CUAAACGACUCUCGGCAACGGAUAUCUCGGCUCUCGCAUCGAUGAAGAACGUAGCGAAAUGCGAUACUUGGUGUGAAUUGCAGAAUCCCGCGAACCAUCGAGUCUUUGAACGCAAGUUGCGCCCGAAGCCUCACGGCCGAGGGCACGCCUGCCUGGGCGUCACGCAU
rnacentral:rRNA from 1 species